AGAGUUUGAUCAUGGCUCAGAUUGAACGCUGGCGGCAGGCCUAACACAUGCAAGUCGAGCGGUAGCACAGAGAGCUUGCUCUCGGGUGACGAGCGGCGGACGGGUGAGUAAUGUCUGGGAAACUGCCUGAUGGAGGGGGAUAACUACUGGAAACGGUAGCUAAUACCGCAUAACGUCGCAAGACCAAAGUGGGGGACCUUCGGGCCUCAUGCCAUCAGAUGUGCCCAGAUGGGAUUAGCUAGUAGGUGGGGUAACGGCUCACCUAGGCGACGAUCCCUAGCUGGUCUGAGAGGAUGACCAGCCACACUGGAACUGAGACACGGUCCAGACUCCUACGGGAGGCAGCAGUGGGGAAUAUUGCACAAUGGGCGCAAGCCUGAUGCAGCCAUGCCGCGUGUGUGAAGAAGGCCUUCGGGUUGUAAAGCACUUUCAGCGGGGAGGAAGGCGUUAAGGUUAAUAACCUCAUCGAUUGACGUUACCCGCAGAAGAAGCACCGGCUAACUCCGUGCCAGCAGCCGCGGUAAUACGGAGGGUGCAAGCGUUAAUCGGAAUUACUGGGCGUAAAGCGCACGCAGGCGGUCUGUCAAGUCGGAUGUGAAAUCCCCGGGCUCAACCUGGGAACUGCAUUCGAAACUGGCAGGCUAGAGUCUUGUAGAGGGGGGUAGAAUUCCAGGUGUAGCGGUGAAAUGCGUAGAGAUCUGGAGGAAUACCGGUGGCGAAGGCGGCCCCCUGGACAAAGACUGACGCUCAGGUGCGAAAGCGUGGGGAGCAAACAGGAUUAGAUACCCUGGUAGUCCACGCCGUAAACGAUGUCGAUUUGGAGGUUGUGCCCUUGAGGCGUGGCUUCCGGAGCUAACGCGUUAAAUCGACCGCCUGGGGAGUACGGCCGCAAGGUUAAAACUCAAAUGAAUUGACGGGGGCCCGCACAAGCGGUGGAGCAUGUGGUUUAAUUCGAUGCAACGCGAAGAACCUUACCUGGUCUUGACAUCCACAGAACUUUGCAGAGAUGGUUUGGUGCCUUCGGGAACUGUGAGACAGGUGCUGCAUGGCUGUCGUCAGCUCGUGUUGUGAAAUGUUGGGUUAAGUCCCGCAACGAGCGCAACCCUUAUCCUUUGUUGCCAGCGGUUCGGCCGGGAACUCAAAGGAGACUGCCAGUGAUAAACUGGAGGAAGGUGGGGAUGACGUCAAGUCAUCAUGGCCCUUACGACCAGGGCUACACACGUGCUACAAUGGCAUAUACAAAGAGAAGCGACCUCGCGAGAGCAAGCGGACCUCAUAAAGUAUGUCGUAGUCCGGAUUGGAGUCUGCAACUCGACUCCAUGAAGUCGGAAUCGCUAGUAAUCGUAGAUCAGAAUGCUACGGUGAAUACGUUCCCGGGCCUUGUACACACCGCCCGUCACACCAUGGGAGUGGGUUGCAAAAGAAGUAGGUAGCUUAACCUUCGGGAGGGCGCUUACCACUUUGUGAUUCAUGACUGGGGUGAAGUCGUAACAAGGUAACCGUAGGGGAACCUGCGGUUGGAUCACCU
rnacentral:rRNA from 1 species